rnacentral:misc_RNA from 1 species
UUUCCGUAGGUGAACCUGCGGAAGGAUCAUUAACGAGUUAGGGUCUUCUAGGCCCGACCUCCCAACCCUAUGUUUAUUGAACCUCUGUUGCUUCGGCGGGCCCGUCUCACGGCCGCCGGGGGGAGUCGCCGCGAGGCACCCUCUGGCCAGCGUCCGCCGAUGGCCAACCUCAAAACUCUGAAUGAAUCGUGUCAUGAUGUCUAAGUCUAUGAUUAAAUUAAAGCAAAACUUUCAACAACGGAUCUCUCGGUUCUG